AUUGACCGCUGGCGGCAGGCUUAACACAUGCAAGUCGAACGAGUGGCGGACUGGUGAGUCAUGCUUAGGAAUAUGGCUUAUAGAGGGGGAUAACGACGGUAAAAUUUCGCUAAUACAGCUUCCCAUAGGAUUAGCCCAAGUGGUAUUAAGUAGUUAUUGUGGUAAUGGCCUACCAAGCCGACGAUCUCUAGCGGGUAUGCAAGGAUGACCAGCCACACAGGGACUGAGACACGGCCCGGACUCCUACGGUAGGCAGCAGUGGGGAAUAUGUCGCAAUUGGGGCAUCCUGACGCAGCCAGGCCGCGUGAAUGAAGAAGGCCUUCGGGUUGUAAAGGUCUUUCGGUGACGAGGCGUUAAUCACAGAAGAAGCACCGGCUAACUCCGUGCCAGCAGCGGCGGUAAUAC
rnacentral:rRNA from 1 species